GGAGAGGUGCCAGAGUGGUCGAUUGGGACGGUCUCGAAAACCGUUGUGCCAGUGAUGGUACCGUGGGUUCGAAUCCCACCCUCUCCUCCA
rnacentral:tRNA from 2 species